UGUUACAUACAAUCCAGGCCCACAGUAAUACAUAAACCAUUAAUUUAAUACAAUAGGCCGCAAAGAUACUUAAACUUAAUUCAGUAAGAUCUCCCAAGGGUAUUGCAAGAAGUUGCUGUAUCUGUUAGAAGUUCUAUCAUAAAUU